GACGAACGCUGGCGGCGUGCUUAACACAUGCAAGUCGAACGGAAAGGCCCUGCUUUUGUGGGGUUCUCGAGUGGCGAACGGGUGAGUAACACGUGAGUAACCUGCUCUUGACUUUGGGAUAACUUCAGGAAACUGGGGCUAAUACCGGAUAGGAGCUCCUGCUGCAUGGUGGGGGUUGGAAAGUUUCGGCGGUUGGGGAUGGACUCGCGGCUUAUCAGCUUGUUGGUGGGGUAGUGGCUUACCAAGGCUUUGACGGGUAGCCGGCCUGAGAGGGUGACCGGCCACAUUGGGACUGAGAUACGGCCCAGACUCCUACGGGAGGCAGCAGUGGGGAAUAUUGCACAAUGGGCGGAAGCCUGAUGCAGCAACGCCGCGUGCGGGAUGACGGCCUUCGGGUUGUAAACCGCUUUCGCCUGUGACGAAGCGUGAGUGACGGUAAUGGGUAAAGAAGCACCGGCUAACUACGUG
rnacentral:rRNA from 1 species